rnacentral:tRNA from 1 species
GCCCGGGUAGCUCAGUCGGUAGAGAGCAGGACUCUUAAUCCUGCGGUCGUGGGUUCGAGCCCCACGUUGGGCG